rnacentral:lncRNA from 1 species
UUAAACACAAUAUCAUUUCUACAAUUCCAGAUAGCGGAAACUCCCAUAUGAAUAUGAGCCUUAAUCUUUUUAUCGAUGCCAUUAAGCCAAUUUCCAAAUGAAUUUGUAAUAGAAGAUGGCGAGGGUAAAUUAAAGGCUAUAAAAAUGAUACGCCAAAGAAUACGAGCAAAAGGGCAUGAGAGAAAAAAGUGUUGAACAGUUUCGUCAUCAUCGCAGAAGCAACAUUUCUUACUCCCAUCCCAAUUCCGCUUAGCAAGAUUAUCUUUAGUUAAAAGCACCUUACGAUCCAGAAACCACAUUUUUUUUUUCAAUUUUUAGUGGGAUUUUUAUCUUCCACAAGUAUUUCCGCUGGAACACCGUUUGUCUCUCCGUAAAGUCCGCGUACAUGGAUUUUACAGAAAAAAUACCCGAAAGAUAAACUCCAAAUAAAGUGAUCGGGUUCAGCAGAGAGUUGUACCAUCAUUAGGCGCUGGACCAAGUGCAAUCACCGGGUCCACUUAGCUCCAGUUAAGUUCCGCCUGAAACUAAUACUCAGGGGAAUGGUUGAGAGGGUUGUGGC